UACGAAGGGGGCUAGCGUUGCUCGGAAUCACUGGGCGUAAAGCGCACGUAGGCGGAUUGCUAAGUCAGGGGUGAAAUCCUGGAGCUCAACUCCAGAACUGCCUUUGAUACUGGCGAUCUUGAGUCCGGGAGAGGUGAGUAGAACUGCGAGUGUAGAGGUGAAAUUCGUAGAUAUUCGCAAGAACACCAGUGGCGAAGGCGGCUCACUGGCCCGGUACUGACGCUGAGGUGCGAAAGCGGGGGGAGCAAACAGG
rnacentral:rRNA from 1 species